rnacentral:rRNA from 1 species
CCUACGGGAGGCAGCAGUAGGGAAUCUUCCACAAUGGGCGAAAGCCUGAUGGAGCAACGCCGCGUGGGUGAAGAAGGUCUUCGGAUCGUAAAACCCUGUUGUUAGAGAAGAAAGUGCGUGAGAGUAACUGUUCACGUUUCGACGGUAUCUAACCAGAAAGCCACGGCUAACUAAGUGCCAGCAGCCGCGGUAAUACGAAGGUGGGAAGCGUUAUCCGGAUUGAUUGGGCGUAAGGGGAACGCAGGCGGUCUUUUAAGUCUGAUGUGAAAGCCCUCGGCUUAACCGGAGUAGUGCAUUGGAAACUGGGAGACUUGAGUGCAGAAGAGGAGAGUGGAACUCCAGGUGUAGCGGUGAAAUGCGUAGAUAUAUGGAAGAACACCAGUGGCGAAAGCGGCUCUCUGGUCUGUAACUGACGCUGAGGUUCGAAAGCGUGGGUAGCAAACAGGAUUAGAUACCCCUGUAGUC